AGAGACAGCAGUCGCCGCGGUAAUGCGUAGGUGGCAAGCGUUGUCCGGAAUUAUUGGGCGUAAAGCGCGCGCAGGCGGAUCGGUUAGUCUGUCUUAAAAGUUCGGGGCUUAACCCCGUGAGGGGACGGAAACUGCUGAUCUAGAGUAUCGGAGAGGAAAGUGGAAUUCCUAGUGUAGCUGUGAAAUGCGUAGAUAUAUGGAGGAACACCGGUGGCGAAAGCGGCUCUCUGGCUUGUAACUGACGCUGAGGCUCGAAAGCGUGGGGAGCAAACAGGAUUAGAUACCCGAGUAGUCCCUGUCUCUUAUACC
rnacentral:rRNA from 1 species